rnacentral:rRNA from 1 species
UUUAAUUCGAAGCAACGCGAAGACCUUACCAAAUCUUGACAUCCUUUGACCGCUCUAGAGAUAGAGUUUUCCCCUUCGGGGGACAAAGUGACAGGUGGUGCAUGGUUGUCGUCAGCUCGUGUCGUGAGAUGUUGGGUUAAGUCCCGCAACGAGCGCAACCCUUAAGCUUAGUUGCCAUCAUUAAGUUGGGCACUCUAGGUUGACUGCCGGUGACAAACCGGAGGAAGGUGGGGAUGACGUCAAAUCAUCAUGCCCCUUAUGAUUUGGGCUACACACGUGCUACAAUGGAUAAUACAAAGGGCAGCGAACCCGCGAGGUCAAGCAAAUCCCAUAAAAUUAUUCUCAGUUCGGAUUGUAGUCUGCAACUCGACUACAUGAAGCUGGAAUCGCUAGUAAUCGUAGAUCAGCAUGCUA